rnacentral:hammerhead_ribozyme from 1 species
AUCAACCUGACGAGUUCCAAAUAGGACGAAAUGCGCAUCCUGGAU